GAUGAACGCUGGCGGCGUGCUUAACACAUGCAAGUCGAACGAGAAAUGUAGACGGAAACCUUCGGGCGGAAGCCUUCAUUUCGAGUGGCGGACGGGUGAGUAACGCGUGGGUAACCUGCCUCAUACAGGGGGGUAACAGUUGGAAACGACUGUUAAUACCGCAUAAGACCACAGCAUCGCAUGAUGCGGGGGUAAAAACUCCGGUGGUAUGAGAUGGACCCGCGUUCGAUUAGCCAGUUGGCGGGGUAACGGCCCACCAAAGCGACGAUCGAUAGCCGAUCUGAGAGGAUGACCGGCCACAUUGGGACUGAGACACGGCCCAAACUCCUACGGGAGGCAGCAGUGGGGAAUAUUGCACAAUGGGGGAAACCCUGAUGCAGCGACGCCGCGUGAGUGAAGAAGUACUUCGGUAUGUAAAGCUCUAUCAGCAGGGAAGAAAAUGACGGUACCUGAGUAAGAAGCCCCGGCUAACUACGUG
rnacentral:rRNA from 1 species